UAAACACAUUUCUACAAUCAGCUAAUGUUAUCAACUAAUUAUAUCCUUUACCAAACAGGGCCCUAACACAUAAACUACAUUAUUAUAUUCUAACUCAUAAACUACAUUAUCUUACCCCAUAAAUUUCAUUCUAAUACAUAAAAUACAGAAAAGAAUUAUUACGCCAUAAUUGAGAGGUUACACAACAAUAUAUUACUUCCACAAUUCCAGAGAACAACCAAAAUGGUAUAAAUAAACAUUCAUUAAAGUUUUAAAGAUAUAGCAUAUGCACAUAUACCUAAUUAAACCCCAAAAGCAGGGCAAAUUAUUGGCUGGACCAUGGUCCAGCCAAGUUGGCUGAACCAUGGUCCAAAACGACGCCGUCUCUCCAUUUAAGGAGAGACGGCGCCGUUAGACAUCUUUUAAAAAAAAAAAAUUCUACAUCGUUGGGGUGUUCUUCGCGCAUCUCCGACAGCUUCUUCGACAGUUUCUUCGCCAUCUUCUUCGCGCAUCUCAACCGUCUCCGACGCCACCUCCAGCGCACUCUACUACAAACGAACGCCACAAGAGUUUUCUUGUACACCAUUUCCGGCGCCAUCUCCAUCUACUGAUUAGAGGGAGAGAUGAGAUCAGAAUGCAGUUAAUAAGGCCUGAAUAUACAUUUUGUAUAUUGUGGGUGAUCUCUGCAAUUCUAGCUUUAAUUUGUAAACUUUAUUAGUGUUAUUUAGUGUUAUUUUUCCUCUUUCAAGAAACUCGAAAAAUUUUGCAGCUUAUUAGCUCUGUCAAGAACACCUUUGGUUUCCAGUUUUGAGUUUUCAAUCAACAAUCAAGAAACAGGGAAAUUACUUUU